AUCUAGCGUAUUAAGGAAAACGGACUCAGAACUUGGGCCUGAAGUCAGGAACGCAAGAAGCGAUCGCAUUUCUUCAGCCAUCAUCUUAAAGGCCAAAACGGCCACAAAAUAUGACUGAGUGUGUGAGCAUGCAAGUAUCUGCAGCCUGGGAAAGCACUGUGCACUGCUAGGACACAUCGGUCACGCAGGAGGAAUCUCCUACAGCUGGUGGUGGAGCUUGGGGGAACUGCUGAGGAGGUGUCUGUGUCAUCUUGGUGCAAAUGAGCCCAAGGAGCCAGGGAGGAUUUUCCUCCAGAAGAGGUUUUCGGAAAAGAAGAGGCUUGACAGCAGACACUCUGAUCAAAUUUGUCAGUGAAACAUUUCCCACAUAACCCUUAUAUGCUUUUGCGUCUGGGCACACACAAACUCUAAAACUCAGUAGAAGUGGUUGUGCCCUUGAGUGAUUAUUUAUGAAUAUCAUCAUUCCUCCCAAGGAUAUGAGGCAUACUCCGCCCAGGGCAAAUGUCUCCAUGGAGGGCUGCCUUUCAUCUGCAGAAAAUUCGCACCAUAUGUUUUCAAAAGGGAACCCCAUGUCUGCAUGGACACAAUUUUACUCUUCUCUUUGGAAGUCAGUGUUUCAGUGUGUCAUAACAAGGUCUCCAUCAUGAUGAAGGUAAAGCCUACAAUCUGCCAGGGUAAAUCAGCACCGCUGGAGCUAAAAGGACAGUCUGCUUUCAAAUGCAAAGAGCCAUCACUUCCAUUAAUCUGAAAUCCCUUUCCUCUUUAAAUAGGAGCAUUAUCUUUUAAAAACUGUAGCUAUCA